CCGUAAUAAUGCUUCUUGUUUCUCACAUCUCCAUCACGAGAUUAGAAGAAGGGAGAAAAAACUAUGACGUUGCUGCUGGUUCUUCAUUUUGGUGGUUCAGAAGCUUUUGAUGAGAGAGAGUAAUGGAGACAGAGAUUAUUGUCAUCACGUCGAAUCUCAACUCUUUAAAUUACUUUUCUUACUCUCAAAUCCUAAAUGGAAUAGAGAAGGAAAGGGAAAAGAAAAGAGAGACAAAAGCCCAAUGUAGUAGACAUACACCCUGGAACUGGUGAUGUAUCUAUUUGACAGAUACUGCAAUUAUCAGUUAUGGAUUUUGUCUCAUGGAGGACAUGAGGAGUUCCUUAAAAUGCCCACAAUGCAUGCAGUGAACUGUCACAUAUCUAUGGACUUAUAAGAAAGGCUGAUAAUAAAUUUUGCUUUACAUCAGUUCUUACAAGUUCUUGCUGUUGUUCAUAAGAAUUUAAAUUACAACACGCCUAAGGGGAUUCUCACAUAUCAAAUGGUUCCAAAGAACUUCAAAUUUGUACUUAAUUCUGGGUGAAUAGAUUAAAAGCUA